rnacentral:rRNA from 1 species
UACGGAAGGCAGCAGUGGGGAAUAUUGCACAAUGGGCGCAAGCCUGAUGCAGCCAUGCCGCGUGUAUGAAGAAGGCCUUCGGGUUGUAAAGUACUUUCAGUCGUGAGGAAGGUGUUAAGGUUAAUAACCUUAGCAAUUGACGUUAGCGACAGAAGAAGCACCGGCUAACUCCGUGCCAGCAGCCGCGGUAAUACGGAGGGUGCGAGCGUUAAUCGGAAUUACUGGGCGUAAAGGGCACGCAGGCGGUUAAUUAAGUUGGAUGUGAAAUCCCCGGGCUUAACCUGGGAAUGGCAUUCAAGACUGGUUAGCUAGAGUCUUGUAGAGGGGGUAGAAUUCCAUGUGUAGCGGUGAAAUGCGUAGAGAUGUGGAGGAAUACCGGUGGCGAAGGCGGCCCCUGGACAAGACUGACGCUCAUGUGCGAAAGCGUGGGGAGCGAAACAGGGAUUAGAUACC